rnacentral:rRNA from 1 species
UGGGGAAUAUUGGACAAUGGGCGAAAGCCUGAUCCAGCCAUGCCGCGUGUGUGAAGAAGGUCUUCGGAUUGUAAAGCACUUUAAGUUGGGAGGAAGGGCAUUAACCUAAUACGUUAGUGUUUUGACGUUACCGACAGAAUAAGCACCGGCUAACUCUGUGCCAGCAGCCGCGGUAAUACAGAGGGUGCAAGCGUUAAUCGGAAUUACUGGGCGUAAAGCGCGCGUAGGUGGUUUGUUAAGUUGGAUGUGAAAUCCCCGGGCUCAACCUGGGAACUGCAUUCAAAACUGACUGACUAGAGUAUGGUAGAGGGUGGUGGAAUUUCCUGUGUAGCGGUGAAAUGCGAAGAUAUAGGAAGGAACACCAGUGGCGAAGGCGACCACCUGGACUAAUACUGACACUGAGGUGCGAAAGCGUGGGGAGCAAACA